rnacentral:rRNA from 1 species
UUAGUCGUAACAAGGUUUCCGUAGGUGAACCUGCGGAAGGAUCAUUACCGAUGUUAMYUKGUCUGCCUUCNGUGCUGGCUCUUUCAUGAGCAUGUGCACGUUGGSSGGSMAUUUAUAUCGAACCCCCAUUUGUGCNACCUUGCCUCUGCUGGCUUCGGCUGGCAGAGGAUUUUUUACACCCACACGAANGUAAUAGAUAAUAAUGUUGUGCUGAGCACUACAAAUGUACAACUUUCAACAACGGAUCUCUUGGCUCUCGCAUCNAUGAAGAACGCAGCRAAAUGCGAUAAGUAAUGUGAAUUGCAGAAUUCAGUGAAUCAUCGAAUCUUUGAACGCACCUUGCACCCUUUGGUAUUCCAAAGGGNAUGCUCGUUUGAGUGUCAUUAUACUCUCACACUCUCUAAUNAUUAGAGAGCGGUGGAAUUGGGUGUUGCCUGGUGCUUGCUGUCARGCUCAUCUCAAAUGCGUUAGUGCGACUGCUGGUUGGACAUAGUACGGCGUGAUAAGUAAACCCUCGCUGUUUUAGGUACGACUAGUUGCUCUGUGCUUCAAACGGUCCUCGGACAAUCUCUGAUAUUUGACCUCAAAUCGAGUAGGACCACCCGCUGAACUUAAGCAUAUCAAUAAGCGGAGGAAU